rnacentral:rRNA from 1 species
GACGAACGCUGGCGGCGUGCUUAACAUAUGCAAGUCGAACGGGCCCGCUCUCUUUUUUGGGGGUGGGUUGAGUGGCGAACGGGUGAGUAUCCCGUGAGUAACCUGCCCCCUGCUCCUGGAUAACUGCUUGAAAGGGCGGCUAAUACGGGGUGUGCCGGCUGGUCCGCAUGGGCCUGGUCGGGAUAGUUUCAUCUUCGGGUGUUUCGGUGGGGGAUGGGCUCGCGGCCUAUCAGCUUGUUGGUGGGGUGAUGGCCCACCAAGGCGGCGACGGGUAGCCGGCGUGAGGGGGUGGGCGCCCACACUGGGACUGAGACACGGCCCAGCCUCCUGCGGGAGGAGGCAGUGGGGGGUAUUGCACGAUGGGCGGAAGCCUGAUGCAGCGACGUCGCGUGAGGGAUGGAGGCCUUCGGGUUGUGAACCUCUUUCUCCGGUGGUGAAGGCCCUGUCCGUUGCGGCGGGGUUGACGGUAGCCGGGUAUGAAGCGCCGACUAACUACGUG